CAUGAGCAACCUGCCCUUCAGAGGGGGACAACAGUUGGAAACGACUGCUAAUACCGCAUAACAUAUCCGGGAGGCAUCUCCUGGAUAUCAAAGAUUUAUCGCUGAAGGAUGGGCUCAUGUCUGAUUAGCUAGUUGGUGGGGUAACGGCCCACCAAGGCUACAAUCAGUAGCCGGUCUGAGAGGAUGAACGGCCACAUUGGGACUGAGAUACGGCCCAGACUCCUACGGAAGGCAGCAG
rnacentral:rRNA from 1 species